rnacentral:rRNA from 1 species
GACGAGCGCUGGCGGCGUGCUUAACACAUGCAAGUCGAACGCUGAAGCUCAGCUUUUGUUGGGUGGAUGAGUGGCGAACGGGUGAGUAACACGUGAGUAACCUGCCUCCUUCUUUGGGAUAACGCCCGGAAACGGGUGCUAAUACUGGAUAUUCACUGGUCUUCGCAUGGGGGUUGGUGGAAAGGGUUUUUCUGGUGGGGGAUGGGCUCGCGGCCUAUCAGCUUGUUGGUGGGGUGAUGGCCUACCAAGGCUUUGACGGGUAGCCGGCCUGAGAGGGUGACCGGUCACAUUGGGACUGAGAUACGGCCCAGACCCCUACGGGAGGCAGCAGUGGGGAAUAUUGCACAAUGGGCGCAAGCCUGAUGCAGCGACGCCGCGUGAGGGAUGGAGGCCUUCGGGUUGUGAACCUCUUUCGCUCAUGGUCAAGCCGCAACAAUGGUUGUGGUGAGGGUAGUGGGUAAAGAAGCGCCGGCUAACUACGUG